AUGGAAUACAGAAGAAGCUUUAGUAUGUCGAGGUCAGAACGCAUAUUACUUUCAUCCGAAUCUGUGACUUUAGAAUGUGCCAAAAUCGCUGGCUAUGAAAGAAUUUCACAAUCCAUGAAGUUUGAUGAGGAAGAUGAACACAAGAAGAAUAAAAAAGGUAUUGGAUUUCUAAGUAAGAUCCUAACUCUCACAAAAACUUCCACUACCCAUGAAGGGAACGAGGUGGCAGAGAAGGAGAAGAAGGAGAAGAAACGUUCUUCUUGGCUUCCAGAUCCAGACAAACGCUGGCCAAUUCAAGGGUGGUGA